rnacentral:lncRNA from 1 species
UAAUUAAUUAAUUAGUGAUCUAGAAUUAAUUCUAGAAAUAUUUCAAUAAACAAAAAGGUUGCUAGGCAAAAAUGUCUUGGUCUUGGCUACGGCUUUUGUGGAGUGUUAAUACAUACAGUGAAAUGGGGUUCUCAAUCUUGAAUUCUUACAGAAUUUCAAUGGGAAGAACGAUAAGGAAGACAUUUCCUUUUCCAAUCCUACUAAUUAGCACUAAUACAAAGCACAAAAUAGGAAAAUUUCUUGUCAUGUUAAAUUGAAGCGUAAGAUUUAAGAACUAAGGACACCUCUUCCCUAAAUUUCUAUGGAAUUUUCUACCAAAAAUCACUUAUCAAAUACAAAUAUUUUUCCUUUUUUAAUUAAAUAAACCAAUUCUCUCUCUUGAGCAAAAAUAAUACGAAACUAAAGAAAAACCUGAAAAUAAUGGCACAUAUGAAUGUAAAAGCUGGAAUGAGAUUAAGCAUGGCCGUCCCAAGUGUGGCAGAGCUAUACUGUAAACCAGUAUAUCCAAAAAUCUGGAUACCAAGUCUGAAAAAGAAAAUGGAAAUCAAUAACUAUUGCUACUCAAAAUUUGAUUCCUUUAGAGAAAAAGAUAAUUUGUUCUCUAAUUACAGACCCAAAUAGUGAAAGCAAGAAAAAGCUGAAAAUUAAGGAGAAGGUGAGUGGAGUUCCAUCUGAUCUGCAAAUUAACCACAAUAAAUAAAUUAACAUACUUGUAUUAACAGAGAUGCGAAGACCUGUGGACUAUUAAGCAACAAGGAAGAAGAACAAGUGUAGCAAUAGCAUCAGAAUAAACAAUAAUGACAUAUCUGUUCAUCCCUUGAGAUAGAGCUAUUUUGGUUAUUUCCAUAGAGCUUACUUGAGCAAGAAUUGAAAUCACCAUUUCAAUAAAGGGCAAUACAGCCUCUUUACUGCAUAACCUUAAUCCCAUAUCUGUAACAAUAACUAUGGUAUUGAUGAACUUAGCAUUUUCAAUCUAAUCAGUGCUGAAAGAUCUGAUACUGUAAAAUGAGCCUAUUCUUUUGCUAGUCCUUAUCUUUCUUUCCAGUGGUGUCUUGAAAAGUUGACCUUUGAUUAAUUGUGAUGGAACUAAAGAACUUUUACCUUAAAUUUUUUUUGUUUUAAUUUAUUUUCUUUAAAUAAUAAAAAAUAAAAAUAAAAGUAUAAAUUAAAUAAGACUUUCGAAAAUAAAAAAAACUUGUAAAUUAACAGAUAUCAAGCAUAAAUAAUACAGUUUUUGACAGCAUUAUUCAGAAAUUGAAAUCUUACUCUUUUUUUUUUAAUCUUUUUCACAUUAUUCAGGAAUCAAAAUUAUUGUCUCCAGAUGAAAAUUUCAAUUUUUAAUCAUUAGAGUAAUCUACUGACCAUAAAAGUAAAUAAUAAUUAAUUAAUUAAUGAUAACAUGCCUAUAAUAAUUUAUGAAUUAUUUGAUAAAUUGAGUGAAUUUAAAAUUUUCUUAUUUUAGAUUUAAAAAUGAUUGAAAAAAAAAAAAAAAAAAACUUGUAGCGUGCUUUAUUUUCCAGUCACGUUCAGAUAGCGCAUCUUGACCAGUGUCCGCAAGAUUCAAGAGUCAAUCAAGACCACUCAAUCCAAAUAUCGUAUUGUAACGGCAAAGCUGAUUUUCAUUCCAAUAAUAUUGGUGGUGGCCCAUUUUUUUUGUUUGUUUAAUGAUAAAGUCAUUUACGUUGAAAAAAAUAAAUAAAUAAUAUUAUGGAGUGGGUGAGACUUUGAUCGACAAGACGUAAAUUAACUCUAUCAAUCAACUCAAUUAGACUUUGUUGUUAUUGAUUAUUUUAAAAACCAAAGUUGUUAACUCCAAAGACUAAUUUGAUUUUUUUUUUUUUUUAUUCGAUGGAAGGCCUAGUCUUAUUCUAAUUCCAGUAAUUGCCUGCAUGUCACAAAACAUAAAGCCUAAUUAAUAUUUUAGAAACUAUGCAGUUCGUCUAAAAAAAAUAGUUUAUCUUUUUUUUCAUUAUACUUAAUUCUUAAAUUGUCUACUCUAUUCUUAUUAUAUUUUAUUUUAUUUUUAAUAAAUUUCGUUAAUUUUUAUUUAUUAUUUUAAUAUAACGUGUUAUUUAAAAUGAACAUAAUAGAAAAAUUAUAUGUAUAAAGUCUGAUUACUUUUUAAGAUAAAUAAAAUAUAUAUUGAUUUGUAUGAAAAUAAAAAGUGGACUAUAGGUCUAUAGGAAUAUUUUUAAAAGAAAAAUUCACAGAUUAACUAGUUACUGGCUAAGGAAAUAUCAUAUAAAAUUGAAAAAUUAAGAAACCAACUUGUAAUACAAAAUUCAAGAGUUAAACAAGAAAUAUUAAAGAUAUCAUAAAUCAAUAUUUAUUUUUAUUCAGUGAAGCUUACAAAAUUACAAGAUCAUACAUAAGCAAGCAUAAUAAAAUAAGACAUAAUUACUCUUGUUUUAGGAAGGAAACAAACUUUCUUUUCAACUCCAAAGCCUUGUCAUGGUUAGGAUUAUGCAAAUGAAAGCAAUGUUCUUCUUUUUCAUUCUCAACAAGUUCACAGCUUCCUUUCCAUCCACUUUUCUGCAACUUCUCAUAAUAAUUCUUGCCCACAGUAUUCAAAUGGUCUUUCUCUGCUACAAAAAUCAACAACUUUUCACAUCCAAGCUUAGCAAUAUCCUCUACAGGCGGGUUCAUUCUAGGAUCAUCCAAUCCCUUAUUAUCUUGACACAUGUAAAGCCACAUAUGAUCAUCUUCAGUACCGCCAAAAUAUGGAUGCACUAAGAUCACCCCAACCACAUUAACUCCAUCCGGUAACCCGAUUGACCCGAUCCGGAAAGCUAAAGUAUGGGAUAUGUUACCUCCUGCGCUAUCUCCACCUAUAAAAACUUUCUCAAAAUCAACGUAAUCAUUCAACCACUGCUCAGGUCCAUUUCGAUUAACAUGAGACGCCACCCACUGGAGUGCUGCCCAGGAAUCUUCAUAGCAAGCGGGUAUGGGUCGGGUCGGGAAGAGACCAUAUUCAAUAGAGACGACAAGAACAUUAGCCUCAUUAGACAAAGCAGAGCAAUAGUUGUGGUAUUGAGGGGAAAACGCAGACAACAUCGAAAACCCACCGCCAUGGAUGUAAAACAAGAGAGGGAGUUUCUGAUCAGAGUUUUGUAGUUUUGGCAAGAAAAUACGAGCAGAUACUGGAGGAUCAGUGGAGAUGGUUACGUCUUUGGAUUUGAGUCCAGUUACAGAGUCAUCAAGUGGUGGGAUUGUUUCCCAAGUUGGCCUGAACAUGUGGAUCCGGCCAUCUUUGUAAACCCUGAAGAAUCUGAACUCAUGGGCAACGUCAUUAUCAGUUGACGCCAUUGAAGAGAAAGGAAAUGAAGGGUUUAGAUUAGAAGCAAGAAAUAGAGGAUGAAAGAGUUCUUGGUUGUGUUUUCUUGGAAGAGUUAAGAGGAGAGGCCUUUUAUUGUAGGAAAAGAGGCGCAUGAGCUACCGUUCUUUACAUAAAUGUUAAUGAAACUCCACUUAAUUACCAGUCGGUCCAAAGCUCUACGAGCAAGAAAGACAAACGUAUUGGGGAAUCUCAACAGCUCUGACUAUGAAGUACGAACAAACAAUAAAAUCAAUGAAGAAAUUAAAGACAAAAAGUUCUGUUUCAAAUCAAAAUGGCUGAUGUGAACUUUCAAAACUGAAAGUCCGGGUCUAAUUAAACGAAGGAAAAAUAUUAUUUAAAAGUUAGAUGGAUCGCAUGGAAUUAACGGUGAGAAUUGCCGUUACAAUACAAGUGCAUAUAUAUAAAAAAUAUUUGUCUACACAGUAAGUUUGUUUAUCUCUUGUAUGUUGGUCUGCAAAAGAGGCUCGUUUUGGGUGGAUGAAUCCUCAAUGACUGUAACUCCACUGCCUUUUCCUGUCUGCUUUUCUUUAGCUUAUCCCCCACAUAACAGCAUAAAAACCAGCUGCGAUCACAAUAGCUCCAAUCACACUGCAUAACCAUUUUGAAAUUUGCAUUUACUCAUUCGCUUGCUUAGAAGUGUACCGUGCAUGGAGUAAAAAGAAAGAAAAUGUACCUUCCAAGAAAGAGAGUAUUCCCUAGAAAAAUGAUUCCCAUGAGUGCAGCUGCAACUAUCCCUAAGGGCUUCAACAUAGAAACAAAAACAGGUCCACUCAUUCUUACACAUAAUGUAGUCAUGCCUAACCGAAAUACAUCCCCAACACCUGCCUAAACAAAUGUUAGAGAAAGAAUUCUCAAUUAAUUAAUGAUUGAGACAGACGUUAACAAUUCUCAAUUAAUUAAUGAUUGAGACAGACAUUAACAAGCGCAGGGCUUCUGAUUAUAUCUUACUGAAUAUAUUACAGAAACCAAACCCAUGUCAGUUCUUAACCUCCAAGCACCAAAAUCUUCUAUAGUUAGAGAAACUACUGCAGAUAGAAUUGCUGCAAAUAAGCUGUAAAAAAAUACUAUGAUUAGCACUGAUGUGUACUUCUUCAGUAUUGAUGCCUGCAAUAAUCAAGACUUGUAAUUAAUUACCCGUAACAAAAGCCAAUGUUUCUAUUUUAUUAGUUAUUUUGUGAUCUAACCUGUAAAAUAUACCAUAGUGAACUCAUCAUAGCAUGAGUUGCAGAGAGAAAUCCUCCAAGGAUCCAAUUUCCUUCUUCUGAAAGUAGUAAUUGAUGAUUCAAGCCAUCAAAUGAGGGCAUGAUAAUGAAAGGUAAGCCCUUGUAGAUGGUCACAGUAAAUGCCCCACUAAUUGAUACCACAGUUCCAAUAAAUUUAGCUAAACUACUUGAGCUCUUCAAGUCUAGCUUUUCCAUCCUGCAAUGUCGAAAAAACAUAAAUUAGACACGGAAGACAGUAUAUUCCGUUUUGGAAUAUGUUUUGAUCUGGUGUCCUUAGCAAUAUCUAAAGGUCACAACUUUGCAUUAUUUCCUCACUAAAUAUCUAUACUUUUGAUGAUAAAAUAAAACUAUCAAGGACAAAAAGCAAUAAUUUUUUCCCUUCCUGCAUUAUUUUCUCCACUGGACUCCAAUUUUGUGCUCGAGCAGAGUAGAUAAUUCAAUUUUUCAACUCUAAAAUAAAAUCCCUUUUACUAUAAAAUAAAAAGAGGAAAGUAAAAUAAAAGUUAAAAAAAAAAAAAAAAGAAACCUGAAAAGGAGGGCAAAAAUGAAAGUAAAAGCUGGGACGAGGUUGAGCAUGGUUGUGCAAAGAGUAGGAGAACUGAACUGUACACCGGCAUAGUUUAAAGCCUGUCCAGAAAAUCUGUUUCAAGAACUAAUUGUUAUAGCAACCGAACCACAUUUAAUUCUGUUUUUAAGCAAAAAUAACAAGAUAAGCAAAGAUUAAUAAGCUUAAAUUUUACCAACCCAAUUAAGGCAAGCAAGAAAAAACUUGAGAGGAGAGGAAAACAGAGUGGGGGAAGAUCUGAUCUGUUGAAGAAAACAAUUAACAAUAAAAGUAAAAAACAAAGUUUCUUGAUCUUAUACGUACAUUAAAAAAAUGGAGAUGAAAACAAAAAAAAAAAGCCCUGUGGGAGAAAAUGGAUAUAGGAAGAAGGAUAAGAGAAGAUAGAGCAUAAGAGUACACAAGAAGUACAUGUCUGCUCAUCCCUUUAGACAUCGCUGCUUUGCUAAUUACCAUAUCACUUGCUUGAGCCAAAACUGCCAUCACCAUCCCCAAAAACGGCACUAUGCUCCCCAUUGCUUGCAAAAACCAAAAAAAAAAAAAAAAAAAAAAUCUUUCUUCACACACUUAUGAGUGAAAAAAUGAUUAAGCAAUAGCCUUUCUUUAUGUUAUUCAAUAAUAUGACAAGAGACAGGUAGCUUUCGUUAUCAAUUUUUUAUCCAUAGGAAUUCCUACAGGAUAAAGCUUUUGUGAAUUUUAGAUGGUAAAGGAAAAAGAAAUGGUAAUUUUAAAUUACACAAUUAAGCAUCUAAUCCCCAGUCGCAAAAAUAAGCUUUUCUGUUUUUUUUUUUUUUUUUUUUUUUUUUUUUUUUUUUUGAAAGGGAAAUAAGCUUUUCUGUUGAGUUGAGAAGAAAAAUAAUUUGUCCUUGUUUUAUAGAGCAGUUCAUGACUUACUACAACACGAGGGAAAUUUUCCCUCUCGAAAGAGGGACCUCGAGGAAACUCGGAGAGAAUUAAAAAAAAAAAUUUGCUUUCAGGAAAUUUUACUAAUUUAUUUUACUGUUUCAACAGAAUUGAAGAAUCCUGGUCAUCUAAUUAAUGCCAUAGAUAUGGAAGAUUUUUAAGGAUUUAUAUAUAUAUAUAUCUCCAUCGCUUUGGCGAAGUUCGUUUGUGGGGUACAUGAACAAAGAAAGCACAAUAACAAUGAAAGCAUAUCAGUAGCAAUAAAAUGAAAAUUAUAAAAGGGGCAUUGAAAUACUGACCUGCAGAUUAUUGCAGGAAUACAAGUUAAGGCUACAGUUUAAUCAUUGAGAGUAAGAAAGUUAUGUCUACCAAAUAUCUGAAUCUGUUAACAUAGGUAAUUCCCACGUGAAAUAAUAAAUAUUAUACAAAAAUGUAUUAAUUCAUCCUGAAAGAUUCGCAACUAACAUUUUUGAGUAUCAAAUUCAAAGAGACAGAGCCCCCUAAUAUCAGUGACCGACGGCUUUUUAAUACAAAAUGGAAUUAGCUUGAGCUAUUGUUGAUUGCAAAUCACUACUGUUGUUUCGCAGUAGAGGGAUCUUAUGAGAGCUCGACUCCAAGUUAGGGUUUCCUUUGCCUUCUUCAUUCAUCUUUUCUUCCUGGGAUUUUCCCCAUAUCACUGUAUAAAAUCCAAGGGCAAUAAUAAUACCUCCAAUCACACUGCAGUGAUAAAAUUCAAUCAAGUAAAUGUUAUUUCCUUCAUAAGCUUUUUUUUUUUUUUUUUUUAAAUAAACAAGUUCGAAAGUAGAUUUCAUCACAUUAUAGAAUCUUGAAUCAACUAAUAUUGUUUUCUUUCAUGAAUGUGAUUAUUUGAUAGUUUAAAACUUUCUUCAUUUUCCCUACAAAGAACUCUGCAAAUAUGAGUCAGUUAAGUUUUUCUCGAUUCUUUUCCUUUUUGAAGGAAAAAGAAAAUUGUACGCUUGCACAGAAAUAUACCUUCCAACAUAAAGGUUGUCCCCAAGAAAAAAAAACCCCAUGAAAGUUGCAAUAACAAUCCCAAGUGGUUUAAACAUGGCAGUGUAGAGAGGUCCUUUCUUGUGGCAUGCCCAAGCAUGAACUACAUUACGAAGUGACAGUGCAAAAAUUGCCUACAGAAUUUACAAGAACGCCAUGUUACAGCAAAGUGUAACAAAGAACCUGAAUGAAAAGGGGACAGAAUAAUAAUUCUUUGAAAUAGCCAUAUGGUAUAUACUUACUGAGCAUAAAAUAGCUAUCAAUUCAACAUCAGGCUUCAGUAUCCAUGCAUUAGGGUGUUUCUCUAAAAUUAGAGAGACUACAGCAGAUAACAGAGUCACGGAGAUGCAAGUUAGCACCGUUACCAUCAACUCCGCAGGGUACUCCUUCAGAAUCCAAGUCUGGGUAAAUAUUCCAGCGGGAGUUAAAUGUCAGAUUAAAUUUAUACUUUGCAUCAUGCAAAACCAGGUAAUUAAGUUGCAGAUUUAGCGUUUUUACCUGGACAAUAUAAAACAAUGCUAAGCACAAUGCACCAACUGCACAAAAAAUGCCACCAAUAACCCAAUUUGACGAGAGCAACAGCAACUGUUCAUCAAUUUGGGAUGCAACAUUUGCAGUGAUAAGUUGCCCUUUAUACAAAGUCACAAUCAACGCUCCUGCAACUGAUACUAUAGUGCCAAUUGACUUGGCUUGGCUACUUUGUAAUCUGAACUCUAGCUUUCCCAUUCUAAAUUAACCAGUAAAGCAUUAAUCAAUAGGAAUAAUCAUUUUUGAUGGAACAUUUAUUGGUGAGGCAGAAAUUUACUACUUUAGAAAAGAAUAAGAUAGGGGUAUCAAAAUCCAUUAGGGAUAGCCUCACUAAUUCUGCCAUGACAACUUUACACCUAUUUCUUAAUUAACUAAUUAUUUCCCAGAAAAUUUGACCAAUUCACAAAAGGCCAACUGUCCUAUUAUGAAACAGAUUACUGGCCGUGAAGACCCGACCUAACAGCGUGGCCCAAACGUAAGGCAACUCCUCAAACCUGACUCCUCCAUUACGUCGUUGGAUUGCCCACCGGAGUUCAUGGAACCCGUCAACAGAAUCGUAAACCAGAGAUAGAAACAGAGCACUAACGAGAGAAAGAGACUGGUGAAAAUGGAAGGAAAGAGGAAUUGGGAAAAGGAAAGGAAAAGAUUGUUAUAAACUUGGGACAAUCACACCUCAAAAGAUUGCAUUGCUAUUUGUACUUUUUCCCUCGGUCAUAAUUUUUUAACUGGAUAACGCAGCAAGUCCUGGGUUAAGGCAGCUAGUGCACUAAACAACAAAACAGAGAAUCUAAAAGAUGAAACUCACCUGAAUAUUACAGACAGUAAAAAAGUGAAAGCCGGUGUUAGAUCAGUCAUGGCUGUGCACAAAGUUGGAGAGCUAUACUUUAUUCCAGUGUUAAAAAGCAUCUGAAUACUAAAACUGUACAAUACAAAACCCAGAAAUAAUAUUCUUUAAUAAUCAGCGUAAUACUGAUUACUGUUCCAAUUAAUUUUAAUUAAGCGAUGAAAUAUAAGAAAACCUGACAAUACUCAGAAGCAAGAUUCUAGAGAAGAUGCAUGCAUUAAGUUUGGGGGGAGACCUUUCCCUGAAACAAAUUAAUAAUUAAUACAAAUUAAGUAAUUCUGGAGUCCUAAUCAACGUUAAAAGAAGAAGAAGAAUAGCCAGUAAUUUAUUACCUGUAAAAGAUGAAGGAAGAGGGAAGAAGGAUGAAGAUGGCAAAGGCCAUUGAAUAAACUAUAUCCUGACUCAUGCUUUUGUUCAUGGCUGCUUUCAUGAUGGUGCUUAUGCCUACCUCCGUGAACUCUACUCCCACCAUGGCUGCUGUUACUCCUGGACUCCACAUUCUUUAAUUAAGAAGCAAGGAAGAGAAAGACUUGAUUCGGUUUUUAUGAUUCAGAUUUCCGAUGCUCAAUGUCCUCUAAUGGCAGCAAUGUCUGUGAUGGUGUUGUUUUCUUAUGUGUUUGGUAGCUAAAUUACGAUUUCCUGUCUAUAGAGAUGUUAAAGUUUAACUUAUUAGAUCUUUAAAAGUCAAUAACAUGGGCCGUAUUUGCCCUACCUGCCAGUGAUUUCCUAUUUUCAUGAUUGAUUGAUUUAUUAGUAACUUUGUAAAGCUGGUUUGAGUUGAGAUGUAUGGAAAUUUUUGCUUAUUUUAAGUCAGGAAUUUUGGUAUAACUAAUAAUAUUAAAAUUUUUUAUUUUGACAUGAAAGAGAGAGAGAGAGAGAGAGAGAGAGAGAGAGGUAAGGCUCUUCGUUAUUUCUUGAAAAGUUUGAAAAUGAGAAAUAAUAAGGUGGAAACGAAAAGUCUACAGUAUUACAGUACUAUUCACCUUAUAGAAACCAAUAAAUUGUCAGUGGUAAUAGUGAGAUUAAUUCUGAAUCUUUAACUUAUAUGAAUGCUCUAGAAUCUGCAAUUUCCCUCUGUAUUUUCCAAAAUCAAAAGAAUCGAACACUUGUAAAAAUCUCAAACAUAAGAUAAGCGAGCCUUUUUAAAAAUUAAAAUUUUGAUCGGUGUGAAAUUUAGUUCUCAUCAUUAUACCAUUCCAAGAAUAUGCAAGCUUUGCCUUUUAUCAAUAGGCCCAUCUAAUUCAAAGUUGGAGUGUCAGUGGUGAUGGUGACUGGUGAGCACUGUGCAAUUGCUUUCGAGAUGGGUUAUUAUUAUUGUGAUAUACAGAGCGGACCUACAGUUAGUCAUGAGUUCGACGUAAAAUGUUUUGUUGAAGAGAGGAAUUUUGAUAUAAAAAAUAUGUUAAAAAUGUUGAUUUUGACAUGAAACGCAAUGACAUAACAUAUUGGUGAUGUUGACAUAUAUUAUUAUAUAUAUUUGAUUAUAAAUUGGUCUUAUUCAACUUUAAAGGAGAAAAAAGUUAAAAUUGGUGUAUAAAUUAUACUUAAAAGAUUUUUAUUUUUUAAAACUUAGCUGUAAAAUUCUUAAUUUAUUGUUUCCUUGACAUUUUUUUUAUCUCGCAUUAAUUAAAGAUAAGAUUAUUAUUCAAAAUAUAAGAAUCGAUAAUCCUCGUCCUCUUCGCACUGAGGAGUGUGUUAUCUCCACAUUUGAUAUACGUAGCUUUCUUUAUCAAUUUUUUUUUUGUUUCUAUUCAAUGUCAACUUAGCUUAAGUGAUUGUUGAUUCCAAAUCAGUAUUUUUGUUUCGCAGAAGAGGUAUCUUAUGAGAGCUUGACUGCAUGUUUGAAUUUCCAUCAUCUUCUUCAGCCAUCUUUUCUUCCUGGCUUUUCCCCAUAUCACCGUAUAGAAUCCAAGAGCAAUAACAAUACCUCCAAUUACACUCAGUGAUAAAAUUCAAUCAGGUAAAAUGUUAUUUCCUAUUAAAAUAUCACCGAUUAAUUUAGUCUCCACCAAAAUGGGCUGUUAUAAUAAGCCAAGACUUGGGAAGUCUUAAGCCCAAAGUUGGAUGUCCAAGCCCACAUUCUAGAAUACUCCACUAUUCUCCAAGAUGUAAUGAAAAUAUCUUACCUAACUCUAGAAUUUUUCUUGUAAUUUAGAUCGUCCAAUUUUGUAAACAAAUCUUAGUCGUAUAUUGAGGAGGUGGAAAUACCUAUAAAUACCACCCCUCCUCUCAAUUGUAAAAACCAAGCAAACCAAGCAAACACCAAGUAAGUAAUCCUUUCCUUAAAACUUUGUAAAUGUUUGCUUCUUAUUAAUACAAUAUUAUUUAGUGUUUUGUGUUAGUAUUAUUUUGGUUGCCUUUCCCGUUAUUAUUUUUGGUGUUAUAAAUUAUUAAUCAAUCUUGGAGUUUAUCACUGCGCAAUAUCCAACAAAUUGAUAUCAGAGCGUUAAUCCCAACAUUUCCUUCUCAAGCUUUACAAGAAAAUACAAAUUUGAACUAACGAAAAUGGAUUCCAUCGGAUUAUAGAAUCUGAAUCAACUAAUAUGUUCUCUUUCAUGGAAGUGAUUAUGUGAUAAUUUAUAACUUUCUUCAUUUAUCCUACAAAGAACUCUGCAAAUAUGAAUCAGGUAACUUUUUCUCAAUUCUUUUCCUUUUUGAAGGAAAAAAGAAAAGCACAGAAAUAUACCUUCCAACAUAAAGUUUGUCUCCAAGAAAAGAAACCCCCAUGAAAAUUGCAAUAACCAUCCCAAGUAGUUUAAACAUGGCAGUGUAGAGAGGUCCUUUCUCGCGGCAUGCCCAUGCCUGAACUACAUUAAGAAGUGAUACUGAAGAAACUGCCUACAGAAUUUACAACAACAUCAAGUUACAGCAAAAUGUAACAAACAACCUGAAUGAAAAGGGGACAGAAUAAUAAUUCUUUGAAAUAGCCAUAUGGUAUAUACUUACUGAGCAUAAAAUAGCUAUCAAUUCAACAUCAGGCAUCAGCAUCCAAGCAUUAGGGUCUUUCUCUAAAAUUAGAGGGACUACAGCAGAUAACAGAGUCACAGAGAUGCAAGUUAUCAUUGUUAUCAUCAACUCUGCAGGGUACUCCUUCAGAAUCCAAGUCUGGGUAAAUUUUCCAGUGGGAGUUAAAUGUCAGAUUAAAUUUAUACUUUGCAUCAUGUAAAAACUCGCAAGUUGCAGAUUUGGCAUAGUACCUGGACAAUAUAAAACAGAGCUAUGCACAAUGCACCAACUGCACAAAAAAUGGCAACAAUAACCCAAUUUGAAUAGAACAACGGCAACUGUUCAUUAACUUGUGAUGCAGCAUUUGUAAUGAUAGGUUGCCCUUUAUACAAAGUCACAAUUAAAGCUCCUGCGACUGAUACUGUGGUGCCAAUUGACUUGGCUUGGUACUUUGUAAUCUGCAUUCUAGCUUUUCCAUUCUGAAUCCACCAAUAAUCAAGCACUAAUCAAUGGUCAUCAUCAUUUUUGAUGGAAAAUUGAUUGGUAAGUCUGAAAUUUACUACUUCAGAAAAGAAUAAUAUAGGGGUAUCAAAAUCCAUUAGGGGCUGGCCUCACUAAUUCUGCCAUCACAACUUUACACCUAUCUCUUAAAUUAACUAAUUAUUUCAUACAAAAUUUGAUCAAUUCACAAACAAUACAUGUGCUAUUAUGAAACAGAUUAUUGUCCAUGAAGACCCGACCAAACAGCUUGGCCCAAACGUAAGGCAACACCUCGAAACCUGACUCCGCAAUUGCGUCCUCGGAUUGCCAGCAGAGUGCAUGGAACCCGUCAACAGAAUCGUGCCGGUUUUGUAACCAAGAUAGAAAUAGAGCACUACGGAGAGAAAGAGGGUGGGGAAAAUGGAAGGGGAGCGUUUAAAGAAUGAGGAAAAGGAAACGAAAAUAUUGUUAUGACCCUGGGACAACCACAUCUCAAAAGCUAGUCCUGAAGAUUGGAGAGUUCAAGUUCAUAUAAAUCCCACGUUGAAAUCCUAUAUACUUUAAAUGUGAAUCCAAGACAAGUCCCAUACCUUGUCUUACAACUAAGAUGCUAACAAAGUUUUGCCAGGGUCACGGAAGAAGAAUUGCAAGUUUUUCCAGGAAAUUUUUUUUUUUUUCUCUUUAAUCAAAUCAACUGGUACCAAACACCAUAUUUUACUAUAUUUUAAUUACCCUUCCUUCACCUAUAUCCCCGUCCAAACAAAGCCUUGGUAAAAAAAAACCUAAUUUCUUUUGCUAAGAAAUACUAAAAACUUUUGAUCAAUGCGUACCAAAAAAUUUGUUCAAAUUAAAAAUUUAAAUUCAAAUUAUAACUAAUAAUUUUUAGUGGGUCUAUAAACUUAGUUUAAGCAAGUUCAUCCCUUAACACAUAAUGUCCCGUGUAUUUGAAAAUGUUUUCACGGAUAAAUGUAUUGAAUAAUUUUGAAAUGCUGGUUUAAGAAGGAAUUUUGGUGUAAAAUAUUUUUAGAGAAGAAUUUUGGUAUAAAAUAUUUAUGUAUAUUAAAGGUUGAUUUUGACAUGAAAUGUAAAAAUUCCCAUAGUAAAAAACAAAUCAUUUUCCAAAAUUUCAUUCUAAUUAAGACAUACAAGUUCCAACUGAUUUAGCUAAACCACCUGAGCUCCUCAGGUCUAGCUUUUCCAUCCUACAAUGUCAAAGAAACGUCAAUUGCUAAAUAAAAUAUACGAUUUGUAAUGGAAUAUAAAGAAACCAAAAGUCUGAAGCUCAGGACACUAAGAUGGCAGUAUCUAAAGCCUAAAGGAGUAAAGGUCACAACUUUACAUGUUUUCUUACCAAAUAUCUAAACUUUAUUCAUGAUAAAAAUGUUCACAGGCCAAAAAGCACUGGCAAAGAGUAAUACGAUUUCUCUCCUGCAUUAUAUUUGGAGCUUAAAGUAAUUAACGUUGGCCCCUCAAUUACAGCUAAAUUGACACAUGAUCUCUGUUUUCAAGAACUAACUGCGAAGUCGCUAACUUAUGAUUCUAUUAGUACUUUGAUCAUUUCGUCCAAAAAAAUAAGAGAGACAAUGGAGAAACAUAGAUAGAGGAUGUUUAAGGAUUUAAAAUAAUAUUUCCACCAUUUUCACAGAAUUCUUUUGUGGGGUACAUGAAUAGAAAGAGCACCCUAACAAUGGAAUCAUAUCAAUAGCAAUAAACUGAAAAUGAUAAAAGGGGCAUCGAAGUACUGACCUGCAGAUUGUUGCAGGACUACAAGUUAAGGCUACAGUUUAAUCAUUCAGGGUAAGAAAGUUAUGUCUGUAAUCAGAGAAAUGAAUCUGAGCAAAACAAUAAUUACUGUAGGUAAUUCCCACAUGAUAUAAUUAAUAACCAUAAAAAAAUGUAUGUUUUCAUCCUGUAAGAUGUGAAAGAUCUGUAACUAAUAAUUUGAGUAUCAAAUUCAAAGAGACAGACACCUAAUAUGAAUGACCAACAGCUUUUUUAUUACAAAAAGGAUUACACAUAUUUCCUCAGCUUAAAAUUGAUAUAAAUCUACCUAAUCAAGUUCCAUUUUUAUGUAUUUCAUGCAAAAUACUAUACAGUUGGGAAUUUGUUCUGCAGAAAAGGGACUUUUGGGGAAGAUGACUCAAAUCUACAACUCUCUUUGUCUUCAACUGUUUCUUCUUGCGUUUUUCCCCAAACCACAGCAUAAAACCCAAAGGCAAUAAUAACAGCUCCUAUCACACUGCAUAGUAAAAUGUGGGAAAAAAGAUGAGAGAAAAAAAAUUGAAACAGACAACAUUGUUUUCUUUUAUUUUCCCUUUCCUAACUGCUUUUGCAUUCAGGAUGAAGAGUUGAUGAUAAUUAGUCCUGAUAAUACAUAAUCAAGUGAGGAAUACUACCUUCCAAGAUAGAGAGUAUCCCCUAUGAAAGAUACCCCCAUGAAUACUGCGAUAGCCAUCCCAAGUGGUUUAAACAUGGAAGUAUAUACAGGGCCUCUCUUAUGACAUGCCCAUGUGUGAACAACACUUCGAAGUGAUACUGCAAAAACUGCCUACAAAAUUAAUCAAAAAAAUAUCAAGCCAUUAUAAAAUCCAAUAAGAAGCUUAUCGUGGAGGAAGAGUAAGUAAAAACUUGCUUCUCCACGCUCACCGAGAACCCAAUGGCAACCAACCCAAUAUCAGGCCUUAUUUUCCAAGCAUUCAGAUCUUUCUCAGCAAUCAGAGUAACUAUGGCUGACAGGAUAGUCACAAAGCAACAAUUAAUCAAUGUAAUGAUUAUCUCUGACGGAUAGUCCCUUAUGAUCCAAGUCUGGAAAUGUCAAAACAAAGAUCAAUUCUUGAAGUAAAAUUAUAUCUAAAAAUACGUUGUAGAUAUUUUGGUAAUGUCUACCUGGAUAAUGUAAAUUACAGCAAGGAUAAAACUAUGAACUGCGAGGAAAAAACCUCCGAUGGCCCAGUUUGAUGGAGGCAAAACAAGAAUCUGAUUUAAAAAAAAAAAAAAAAAACUAAGCCUAAUUAAAUAUAUGCAUUCAGUAUAUCUACAUAAACUGCAAUGAAAAAGAAGGCUGCUGUUGAUUAGUACUUGCCCUGAGAUGACACCGAGUAUGAAAGUAAAAGCUGGAGUUAAAUCAAUCAUUGCUGAGGCCAGAGUUGGAUUGCUGUAUCCUAUACCAAUAUAUGAAUAACUCUCAUUUGAAAUAGUGAAAGUUUUGUAGAUGAAAAUUUCUGAGCUGGAUAUAUCUUUAGCCUUUCAUAUUAAAUGAAAUGAGAAGAACAACAGGAUUAUACUUAAUCAUGUGAAUUGAUACUUUUUUAAUUACUUCCCAUAAAUAUUGGCGGGGAUUAAUUGAAACUUUUUAACAUGACUUUGUAUUUUAAGGGUAAGACUUGUAGAGCGAUAGGAAUGUGGCCAAUGAAGUACACUAUGAUGGCCGACGCUUUUCUGUUAAGAUAAAUUUUUUCUGCAGAAUGCUUAUAUUUCUUCAGUUUUAUUCUGCAGCAGAUGAUCCCUUUCGCCGGAGAAUUCAGAACUUCCUACACCAUUACGCUGUCUUGACUUCUCCUCAUUAGCCUUUCCCCACAACACCAUGUAAAAUCCAGUAACAAUAAUGAUUCCUCCAAUUAAGCUGCAACAAUUUUAGAAUUAUCAGUACGUGGUAAAUCUCUAUUAUGUCUUUAUCCUAAUUUCUUUCAUAUGAAAAUAAAUCAAGUACAAAAAUUUAUCAAUUUUCCAUUGUUCCCGAAGCCAAUUAAUAUUCAUCGAGAAUCAAGAAUGUCUGAUAAGGAUUUUAAAAUUAAAAAUGUCUACCUUCCAAGAGAAAGUGCAUCUCCUAAAAAUAUUGCAUCUGAAAUAACUGCAAAAAGAAUAGCCAAAGGCUUGAACAUGGACACAUAUAGAGGCCCAGUCUUGCUCAGGCACCAAGUAAUUAAGCUGAUACGAAAUGCAGAUCCAAUAAUUGCCUGCAUGUUAAAGAACAUAAAAUCUGAUUAAUCUGUUAAGAAGUUGGUAAAAUAAUUUCAAACCUUAAUCAUGCUAAUGAGUAUACUAUAUCCACUUACUGCAUAAAAAAUGGCAAACAAACCCAUAUCAGGUCUCAAUUUCCAAGCACUGUGUCAUUAACUACAACCAAAGCGAAAAUUCCAGACAAAAUUGUAUCAAAGGAGAAGGCAAAACACAUUAUUGUAAGCACAGCAGGGAACUUUCUUAGGAUAAAGGCCUGGAAAAAAAAGAAAAGAGAAUCAAUUGUUUGUUUUAAUUAUCUAAUAAAUGUUUAUGAAUGGUAUUUAUUUAAACAAACCUCAAGAAUAAAUACUGCUGAAUCCAAGAGAGCUUUGGCUGCGAAAGAAAACCCUCCAAUUAUCCAUAAGAGUGGUGAGGAAUGAAGUAGCUGACGAUGAAUAUGGGAAGUACUACUUCUAAAGAGUGAUGGGCCUUUGUAGAAGAUGACAAGAUAUGCUCCACCAAUUGAUAUUAUGGUUCCUAAACAUUUUGCAAUGCUGCUUUUGCUCCUGCAAUCUACUUCUUCCAACCUAAUUAAUUAAUUAGUGAUCUAGAAUUAAUUCUAGAAAUAUUUCAAUAAACAAAAAGGUUGCUAGGCAAAAAUGUCUUGGUCUUGGCUACGGCUUUUGUGGAGUGUUAAUACAUACAGUGAAAUGGGGUUCUCAAUCUUGAAUGCUUACAGAAUUUCAAUGGGAAGAACGAUAAGGAAGACAUUUCCUUUUCCAAUCCUACUAAUUAGCACUAAUACAAAGCACAAAAUAGGAAAAUUUCUUGUCAUGUUAAAUUGAAGCGUAAGAUUUAAGAACUAAGGACACCUCUUCCCUAAAUUUCUAUGGAAUUUUCUACCAAAAAUCCCUUAUCAAAUACAAAUAUUUUUCCUUUUUUAAUUAAAUAAACCAAUUCUCUCUCUUGAGCAAAAAUAAUACGAAACUAAAGAAAAACCUGAAAAUAAUGGCACAUAUGAAUGUAAAAGCUGGAAUGAGAUUAAGCAUGGCCGUCCCAAGUGUGGCAGAGCUAUACUGUAAACCAGUAUAUCCAAAAAUCUGGAUACCAAGUCUGAAAAAGAAAAUGGAAAUCAAU